rnacentral:rRNA from 1 species
CGCCUCCUGACUAAUGAUAGGAGGUCCAGCCUGCCCAAUGAUACAUUGAAUGGCCGCGGUACUCUUACCGUGCGAAGGUAGCAUAAUCACUUGUUCAUUAAAUGUGGACUAGUAUGAACGGCAUCACGAGGGCCACACUGUCUCCCUACUCCAAUCAAUGAAACUAUUCUUCCCGUGAAGAAACGGGAAUUUUUCUAUAAGACGAGAAGACCCCAUGGAGCUUUAAACCCAGAACAUCUACCAACUCCCCAUUUCAACCUAAAUUUAGUACCCAUGCUUUCUGGUUUUCGGUUGGGGCGACCACGGAGUAAAAAAAAUCCUCCACGAUGAACAAGCUUUACUUUUACCUAAGAGAUACACCUCUAAGGAUCCUUAACAUGACAUUUAUUGACCCAAGCCUACUUGAUCAACGAACCUAGUUACCCUGGGGAUAACAGCGCAAUCCAUUUCAAGAGCCCGUAUCGACAAAUGGGUUUACGACCUCGAUGUUGGAUCAGGGUAUCCCAGUGGUGCAACCGCUACUAAAGGGUUGUUUGGUCAACAAUUAAUAACCCU